rnacentral:rRNA from 1 species
GACGAAGGGGGCUAGCGUUGUUCGGAAUUACUGGGCGUAAAGCGCGUGUAGGCGGUUGUUCAAGUCGGGUGUGAAAGCCUUGAGCUCAACUCAAGAAAUGCACUCGGUACUGGAUGACUAGAGGACCGGAGAGGAUAGUGGAAUUCCCAGUGUAGUGGUGAAAUUCGUAGAUAUUCGCAAGAACACCAGUGGCGAAGGCGGCUCACUGGCCCGAUACUGACGCUGAGGUGCGAAAGCGUGGGGAGCAAACAGG